rnacentral:rRNA from 1 species
AGAGUUUGAUCAUGGCUCAGAUUGAACGCUGGCGGCAGGCCUAACACAUGCAAGUCGAACGGUAACAGGAAGCAGCUUGCUGCUUCGCUGACGAGUGGCGGACGGGUGAGUAAUGUCUGGGAAGCUGCCUGAUGGAGGGGGAUAACUACUGGAAACGGUAGCUAAUACCGCAUAAUGUCGCAAGACCAAAGAGGGGGACCUUCGGGCCUCUUGCCAUCGGAUGUGCCCAGAUGGGAUUAGCUUGUUGGUGGGGUAACGGCUCACCAAGGCGACGAUCCCUAGCUGGUCUGAGAGGAUGACCAGCCACACUGGAACUGAGACACGGUCCAGACUCCUACGGGAGGCAGCAGUGGGGAAUAUUGCACAAUGGGCGCAAGCCUGAUGCAGCCAUGCCGCGUGUAUGAAGAAGGCCUUCGGGUUGUAAAGUACUUUCAGCGGGGAGGAAGGGAGUAAAGUUAAUACCUUUGCUCAUUGACGUUACCCGCAGAAGAAGCACCGGCUAACUCCGUGCCAGCAGCCGCGGUAAUACGGAGGGUGCAAGCGUUAAUCGGAAUUACUGGGCGUAAAGCGCACGCAGGCGGUUUGUUAAGUCAGAUGUGAAAUCCCCGGGCUCAACCUGGGAACUGCAUCUGAUACUGGCAAGCUUGAGUCUCGUAGAGGGGGGUAGAAUUCCAGGUGUAGCGGUGAAAUGCGUAGAGAUCUGGAGGAAUACCGGUGGCGAAGGCGGCCCCCUGGACGAAGACUGACGCUCAGGUGCGAAAGCGUGGGGAGCAAACGGGAUUAGAUACCCUGGUAGUCCACGCCGUAAACGAUGUCGACUUGGAGGUUGUGCCCUUGAGGCGUGGCUUCCGGAGCUAACGCGUUAAGUCGACCGCCUGGGGAGUACGGCCGCAAGGUUAAAACUCAAAUGAAUUGACGGGGGCCCGCACAAGCGGUGGAGCAUGUGGUUUAAUUCGAUGCAACGCGAAGAACCUUACCUGGUCUUGACAUCCACGGAAGUUUUCAGAGAUGAGAAUGUGCCUUCGGGAACCGUGAGACAGGUGCUGCAUGGCUGUCGUCAGCUCGUGUUGUGAAAUGUUGGGUUAAGUCCCGCAACGAGCGCAACCCUUAUCCUUUGUUGCCAGCGGUCCGGCCGGGAACUCAAAGGAGACUGCCAGUGAUAAACUGGAGGAAGGUGGGGAUGACGUCAAGUCAUCAUGGCCCUUACGACCAGGGCUACACACGUGCUACAAUGGCGCAUACAAAGAGAAGCGACCUCGCGAGAGCAAGCGGACCUCAUAAAGUGCGUCGUAGUCCGGAUUGGAGUCUGCAACUCGACUCCAUGAAGUCGGAAUCGCUAGUAAUCGUGGAUCAGAAUGCCACGGUGAAUACGUUCCCGGGCCUUGUACACACCGCCCGUCACACCAUGGGAGUGGGUUGCAAAAGAAGUAGGUAGCUUAACCUUCGGGAGGGCGCUUACCACUUUGUGAUUCAUGACUGGGGUGAAGUCGAACAAGGUAACCGUAGGGGAACCUGCGGUUG